CCCGAGGGGCGGGGCCUAGGGGCGGCGAAUCUUAACCGCCCCCUGCGUUCAAGCUUCAACUGCCGCUGCCUCAGAAUAUCCUUGGCACAAAUAUAAGCUUGUGACAACAACAGCAGCUGACUAUUAUGUGGAUUCACCAGGAACCAACCCCUUGGAGAAACAGCUGAUUCCAAGUUGGGGCAUCUCUUUCCCCUCCAGCCCUGAGGUCGCAGGUGACCAAUUACCUGAGAGCAUACAGGACUGUGCCAUUGGAGAAGAGGCGGAUCAGCCUGUUUCCCACGGUGACUUCGUGGAGGAAGGACUUUUUGGACUCC